AUUGAACGCUGGCGGCAGGCCUAACACAUGCAAGUCGAGCGAGCGGCGGACGGGGGAGUAUUGUCUCUGAAACUCCCCGUUGGAGGGGGAUCACUACUGUAAACGGUAGCUAAUACCGCAUACCCUCUGAUGUGCCCAGAUGGGAGUAGCUAGUAGGUGGGGUAACGGCUCACCUAGGCGACGAUCCCUAGCGGGUCUGAGCGGAUGACCAGCCACACUGGAACUGAGACACGGUCCAGACUCCUACGGGAGGCAGCAGUGGGGAAUAUGGCACAAUGGGCGCAAGCCUGAGGCAGCCAUGCCGCGUGUGUGAAGAAGGCCUUCGGGUUGUAAAGGACUUUCAGCGGGGAGGCGUUACCCGCAGAAGAAGCACCGGCUAACUUCGUGCCAGAAGCCGCGGUAAUAC
rnacentral:rRNA from 1 species